GAACCGUUUAGGGGUAAACCUGAGAAACCCGAAAGGUCGAAGGGAGAAAUUCAUUCGCGUUUCGCCAUUGGCGUGAGACGGUCGUGUGACGGAAAACGUUCGCGUUUUCCGCACCUUUCGUUUUUCGAUCCGAUAGCGAACGCGUGCACUUUUCUCCUGGUAGGACGUCGCGAUCCGUUGGGUGUCGGUCUACGGCUCGCGGUGGAGCCCGGAUGUACGGCUUGCCGUCACGUCCGGACCCGCGUGUCCCGGCUGACUCGCUCGACGGUAUACGAAAGGUUUAAGGCCGCUCUUUGAGCGUUCGGCUCGUCGCAAGCGCGUCAGAUGUGUCGGUGAUCGGACCUAGUGCCGGUUCUGACCUCUGGCGACUGUUGGCGGCGAAGUUCUCGAACAGACCUUCGACCGAUCUGCGACGCUAUAGCUUUGGGUACUUUCAGGACCCGUCUUGAAACACGGACCAAGGAGUCUAGCAUGUGCGCAAGUCAUUGGGAAUCACUAAACCUAAAGGCGCAAUGAAAGUAAAAGUCCGCCUUGCGUGGACUGAGGGAAGACGAGCGGUUUACCCUUAAAAGUGGCCGCUCCGCAUUCCCGGGGCGUCUCAUUCUCAUCGCGAGAAGAGGCGCACCAUGAGCGUACACGCUGGGACCCGAAAGAUGGUGAACUAUGCCUGGUCAGGACGAAGUCAGGGGAAACCCUGAUGGAGGUCCGUAGCGAUUCUGACGUGCAAAUCGAUCGUCGGAACUGG
rnacentral:rRNA from 1 species